rnacentral:rRNA from 1 species
GAUGAACGCUGGCGGCGUGCUUAACACAUGCAAGUCGAACGGAAAGGCUCCUGCUUGCAGGGGUACUCGAGUGGCGAACGGGUGAGUAACACGUGGGUGAUCUGCCCUGCACUUCGGGAUAAGCCUGGGAAACUGGGACUAAUACCGGAUAGGACCACAUUUUGGAUGGUGUGGUGGAAAGUUUUUCGGUGUGGGAUGAGCUCGCGGCCUAUCAGCUUGUUGGUGGGGUAAUGGCCUACCAAGGCGUCGACGGGUAGCCGGCCUGAGAGGGUGUACGGCCACAUUGGGACUGAGAUACGGCCCAGACUCCUACGGGAGGCAGCAGUGGGGAAUAUUGCACAAUGGGCGCAAGCCUGAUGCAGCGACGCCGCGUGGGGGAUGACGGCCUUCGGGUUGUAAACUCCUUUCGCUAGGGACGAAGCGCAAGUGACGGUACCUGGAGAAGAAGCACCGGCUAACUACGUG